GGUGGCUUAAUGGUAGAGUGCUUGCCUUGCAUGCAUGAGGCCCUGGGUUCGGUUCCUCAGCACCA
rnacentral:tRNA from 1 species